rnacentral:rRNA from 1 species
UACAGAGGUCCCGAGCGUUGUUCGGAUUCACUGGGCGUAAAGGGUGCGUAGGUGGUGAGGUAAGUCGGAUGUGAAAUCUCCGGGCUUAACCCGGAAACUGCAUUGGAAACUACCUUGCUGGAGGGUUUGAGGGGGGACUGGAAUUCUCGGUGUAGCGGUGAAAUGCGUAGAUAUCGAGAGGAACACCUGCGGCGAAGGCGGGUUGCUGGGCCGACACUGACGCUGAUGCGCGAAAGCCAGGGGAGCGAACGGG